AUUGAACGCUGGCGGCAGGCUUAACACAUGCAAGUCGAACGAGUGGCGGACGGGUGAGUAAUGCUUGGGAAUCUCGCUUAUGGAGGGGGAUAACUACGGGAAACUGUAGCUAAUACCGCGUACCCUAGGAUGAGCCCAAGUGGGAUUAGGUAGUUGGUUGGGUAAAGGCUCACCAAGCCGACGAUCUCUAGCUGGUCGGAGAGGAUGACCAGGAACACGGGGACUGAGACACGGCCCAGAAGCCGAAGGGAGGCAGCAGUGGGGAAUAGGGGGCAAUGGGAGGAACGUGACGCAGCCAUGCCGCGUGAAGGAAGAAGGCCGUCGGGUUGUAAAGUUCUUUCGGUAGCGAGGCGUUAACUAAAGAAGAAGCACCGGCUAACUCCGUGCCAGCAGCCGCGGUAAUAC
rnacentral:rRNA from 1 species